rnacentral:rRNA from 1 species
CAGUCGCCGCGGUAAUACGAAGGGGGCUAGCGUUGUUCGGAUUUACUGGGCGUAAAGCGCACGUAGGCGGAUCUUUAAGUCAGGGGUGAAAUCCCGAGGCUCAACCUCGGAACUGCCUUUGAUACUGGGGAUCUUGAGUCCGGAAGAGGUGAGUGGAACUGCGAGCGUAGAGGUGAAAUUCGUAGAUAUUCGCAAGAACACCAGUGGCGAAGGCGACUCACUGGUCCGGAACUGACGCUGAGGUACGAAAGCGUGGGGAGCAAACAGGAUUAGAGACCCCGGUAGUCCCUGUCUCUUAUAC